rnacentral:rRNA from 1 species
AUUGAACGCUGGCGGCAGGCUUAACACAUGCAAGUCGAGCGGAGUGAUGGUGCUUGCACUAUCACUUAGCGGCGGACGGGUGAGUAAUGCUUAGGAAUCUGCCUAUUAGUGGGGGACAACAUCUCGAAAGGGAUGCUAAUACCGCAUACGUCCUACGGGAGAAAGCAGGGGAUCACUUGUGACCUUGCGCUAAUAGAUGAGCCUAAGUCGGAUUAGCUAGUUGGUGGGGUAAAGGCCGACCAAGGCGACGAUCUGUAGCGGGUCUGAGGGGAUGCUCCGCCACACGGGGAGUGAGACACGGCCCAGACUCCUACGAGAGGCAGCAGUGGGGAAUAUUGGAAAAUGGGGGGAACCCUGAUCCAGCCAUGCCGCGUGUGUGAAGAAGGCCUUAUGGUUGUAAAGCACUUUAAGCGAGGAGGAGGCUCUUUUGGUUAAUACCCAAGAUGAGUGGACGUUACUCGCAGAAUAAGCACCGGCUAACUCUGUGCCAGCAGCCGCCGUAA